rnacentral:rRNA from 1 species
GAUGAACGCUGGCGGCAUGCCUAACACAUGCAAGUCGAUCGGUAAGGCUCUUCGGAGUACACGAGAGGCGGACGGCUGAGUAACGCGUAGGAACACACCCUGCAGUGAGGGAUAAGACACCGAAAGGUGUUCUAAUACCGCAUACAGUCUUCGGAUUAAAGCAUUUAUGCGCUGAAGGAGUGGCCUGCGUCAUAUUAGAUAGUUGGUGAGGUAAUGGCUCACCAAGUCGAUGAUGUGUAGCUGGUCUGAGAGGAUGAUCAGCCAGACUGGAACUGAGACACGGUCCAGACUCCUACGGGAGGCAGCAGUGAGGAAUAUUUCACAAUGAGCGAAAGCUUGAUGGAGCAAUGCCGCGUGCAGGAUGAAGGCCCUCGGGUUGUAAACUGCUUUUAUAAGAGAAGAUUAUGACGGUAACUUAUGAAUAAGGGACGGCUAACUACGUG